GAGAAAAUACACAUUUUGCUUCCUCUCAACAUAGAUUAGAAACGGGUCCCCUUGAAAAAUUUGAGCUACAACGUGGGGAGGUAGAUAUAUCUCCUUGCACCGAAGCAAAAUGUGAAGAACAACAUAGAUGUUAUACCGACAUCGGUUUCCUCUGGAUGACAAAAAAUUGGAGAUUUCUUCGUAAUGAAGUAAGGUGGAAGAAAACUAGUUUUGGCAUACAAGAUUGAGAAGAUUGUUCACAUAUUCAAGUAGGAAAUUGAUAUUAAAGGUAUGUUACGGCUAAUCCUUCCUUCUUUUGGUAUGAUCUAAGGAUUAAAUGUCUAUUUGCUUUCAUUUUGGCAAAAGCUACUUAUAAUGUUUACACUUAAUUUUGUGCGGAGAAUGAAUUAACAACAUUCAACAUCUUUUUGGUUAAUGAUUAAUUCUUUCAUUGGGGGAACUCAUGCCAACACUAUGAGGAUAACUUAUUUUAGAAUAAGUAUGAUAUUGGCAUGUCUACGUGGGGCCAUGACAAUAUGUAACAUAUGACUAAUGUCCUUUAUAGAAUUUAUGAGCGGACAUUUGGAAGAAGUUGGUGAUAUAGUGAUAUAAUGAAGAGGUGGGUAAACCUCACAAAUCAUGAUGGAUAAAAAUACUCUCUUUUGGAAACUUAUUAUGAGAAAGAAUUGCAGCAAAUAUGAUCCCCUUAUCACUUUAGCUAAAUAUAGUGUUUCAUAAAUAAACCUAGGCAACAACUAUUUUGGUUCCUUCAUUUUCACGAGAAGUAGAAAAAAUUGAAGCAACCUUUCAACUUUGAAAAUUAUACAUAGCAGCAGUACUACAUCACAAGGGAUAUAGCAUCAAUGUGAAUUUAUAUUGUAGUAGCAGCAAUGUUAGUUGGUAAUUUAUGGAAGAAGAGUGUAAUCUUUCUCAAAGACAAUAUAUGGGUUUUGCGCACCACCUUGAUCUCGUUGUUCUAUUUUGGCGCGUUGGUUAAUCCGGGUUGUCUUCAGUGUGAAGUAAGGUGGAAUAAGAGUAUUUCUUGGCAAAUAAGGUAAGAAUUUUCCUCUCCUUGGUAUAUUUAAAUUCGUCUAGGUCAUGACUAAAUUGUGGAAUGAGAAUUAUGGAAUUAAUAGCGAAAAAUCGCAUUUUGACGUUGUUGUUAUUGUGUCGGCUAUUCGGUAAUGUUCGAAGUUGUGUUGUGGCUGGAAAUCAUUGGAGUAACUUGGAUAUAUAGUUGUAGUUGUCAUUGAUAUAUGUUUUGAAGGAAAGAAAUAUUGGAGAAGUGUGUUUAAUAAUCGUAGCCGAGCUUGUCGCUCGUUGUAUCAUAGUUUGGGUUGUAAAACUUGUUGUGAGAUAUUACCUUGCCAGUUGUAGGCUUGAGGGAAUGAUAAGAAUAGGGAAAAUCAUGUCCAUUUCAUUGUAGGAUAUGUUACCUUAUGUCAUGCGAUUAAGAGAAUUGUUCGUAUGUUUUACAAUAGUAUUAUUCUUGUUAUUGCAUAGAUCGUGAAGUGGAUGCGAGUUGAGCUCUUGAGACGGUGGGUUAAGACUAGGUAUGCUAAGUAUAUCCCUUCUUUCCUUUUGGUAUGAUCCAUACAAUAUAAAUGAAACGAGCAAACGCACAAUUUUUAUAAAUGUCUCUAUUCAUAGAAGCACUAGGGGUGCCUAUGUUCUUGAUUUCCCAUGUGUCUUAUUAUUAUAUCGUCUGUUCAUGGGUCUCAGAAAAUACGUAAGUUGACAAAUUUUAUUUCAUGAUAUUAAUCGAAGCCAUAAUGAUUUUACGACAUUCCGAGAAAUCUUAUUGACUUACUUCUCAUGCAUUGCAUUCAUUUAUACAUGUACAUUGACCCAUGACCAUAUGGCGUUAUAUACACAUAUAUUAUAUGUAUAUGGGGUAUGGAGAAAGGUUACAAUAUUAUAUACACACCACCACCUGAUCAGUUGGUAUACAUCGAUUAUUUAGCAUACAGAGGUCGAGAUAAUAUGAUAGGAUGCCUUCAGAGGCUUGAUGAUGUUAUGUAUGCAUAUACAUAUGCAUGAUAAGACAUUUAUAUUGUCACGACCCAAAAUUCAACAAGUCGUGAUGGCACCUAACCCAACCCGCUAGGUAAGCCAACUUUUAAUUAUCCAAUUCUAAUAAUAAUUAUUAAAGUAAUUUAAGUGAAGAAGCAUCAUAAUCUUAUACAUCCCCCAGGAACUGGUAGUACAAAUCAUGAACUUUUAAGAAUAGAGUAUAUAAAGCGGAAAUAAAAUAAAUACACAGUCUGUUUGAAUAAUACAUAAAUAGAGCUUUUAUAAAUCUAAGGCUACCAUGAACAAGAGGCAUCUACAACAGGAACACAUGUACAUCUUCAAGUUCCGCAACCAUCGAGCACAACAACAACAACAACCAACAUCUGCACACAAUGUGCAGAAGUGUAGUAUCAGUACAACCGACCCCAUGUACUGAGUAAGUAACAAACCUAGCCGUAGGUUGAAAGUAGUAACGAGCUUCUACCAAGAUCGGGUCCACAACCAAUAGUCCAUAACAACAUAAAAUAAAUAAUACCAAAAGUAACUCAGAGAUAAAAUGCUCAGGCAAAUCAUGAUUUCAAAAAUAUUAGUUCUUCAUUUCAAAUACAUCAGUGAAAACCCAAAUCGUUUGUCGAAGUUGCCAAAACAAAAUAUGAAUAGUUUGAAAACAAUAAUUUCUCCCAAAAAUCUUUUCAAUAAUAAAUAAGAUGUUUCAUGANNNNNNNNNNNNNNNNNNNNNNNNNNNNNNNNNNNNNNNNNNNNNNNNNNNNNNNNNNNNNNNNNNNNNNNNNNNNNNNNNNNNNNNNACUCAGUCAUCAAUCUCUCCAGUCUCUCGGGCUCACAAUGUCAUGAAAAAUAGCUCAAAAUGAUGAUAUGAUGUAUUAAUGAAUAACAACAGAGACUAAGAUAUGAUAUAUAAUGAAAUGAAUAUGACUGAGUAUGAAUUUUCAAUUUAAAAUAAAUAAUUUAUAACAAUAUGACCUCCGUGGGUCCCAAAAUACUUGCACAUAGGCUCAACAUAAUUUUUAAUAUGCUUUUUAGCUUAAUUUCUUUAACACAUAAAAUCGCAUGGAGAAUGCCAAGAUUAUUUACCUACAAAAUUUCACAGAACCAAUUAUGUCACAAUUUAUAUAGUGCACGCCUACACGCCCGUCACCUAGUAUGUGCGUCACCUCCCAAUAAUUCACCAAAUACAUAUAUUCAGGGUUCAUAUCCUCAACUCGAAGAUUAGAAGAGUUACUUACCUCGAACAAGCUGAAUCCAAAGUCGAGCAAGCUAAACAAUGCUCCAGAAAUUCUAUUAUGCGCGUAUCAACUCUCUAAUGGCUCGAAUCUACCACAAUUAAUUUGAUUCAGCCCACACAAUUUAUAGGAAUUAAUUCCAUAUCAAAAUGCCAAUAUUUUCCACAAAAUUCGAAAUUACGCCCCCAAAAUCACUCGUGGGGACCACGUCUCGAUUUUCGGCAAAACUCACAAAUACGACAACCCAUCCAAUUACAAGUUCAACCAUACUAAUUUCACUCAAAUCCGACUCCAAAUCAGUAUUCAAACUUGAAAAAUUCAUUUUGUGACAUUAUAGAAAUUUUCCUUCUGUCUCUCUUGAAGAUUCAAUAAUCUUACACCAAAAAUGAAGAUUAAUUCAUGGAAUAUAGUCACAAGGGAGUUCAUAAUACUUACCUCAAGUUGUGUGGAAAAUUUCCUCUCCAAAAUUGCCCAAACCGUGCUCCAAAAUCCGAAAAUGAGAAAAAUUCCCGGAACCCUCGUUUUUAACACUGCCCAGACAUUUCCGCACAUGCGGUGCCUGGGCUCGCACAUGCGCAUCCACUUUUGCGGACAAAAAUGCGCACCUGCAAAAAUAAUCGGCCCUCUAAAAUCUUGCAUCUGCGGCGCCAUUCUCGCAUCUGCGGGCUCACAGAUGCGCAUUCCCCUUCGCACCUGCGGUCGCCUCACGCCAGCCCCAGUCCGCAUCUGCGCCAACACCUUCGCACCUGCGGCCUCCCAGAUGUGGCAAAUUCCUCGCACCUGCGAGCAAUUCCCAAUUCCACACUUGGCCGCUUCUGCGACUGAUCUCGCGCACCUGCGAUCAAUAGCUUCGCAUGUGCGAUCACACCAGUAGGCAUCAGCCCCAACAUUUUCUUAAGUCCAAAUUUGAUCCGUUAACCAUCAGAAACUCACCCGAGCCCCUCGGGACCCCAUCCGAACAUACCAAAAAGUCCCAUAACGUAACACCGACCUAUAUGGGGACUCAAAAUACACAUAACAACAUCGAAGCGAUGAAUCACACCUCAAUUCAAAAUCAUUGAACUUUGAAGUUUCAAGUUUCUACAAACGACUCCGGAACCUAUCAAAUCAUGUCCGGUUGACCUCAAAUUUUGCACACAAGUCACAUUUCACAUUAUGGACCUAUCCAAAUUUUUAGAAUAAUAUUCCGACCUCGAUAUCAUAAAGUCAACUCCCGGGUCAAACUUUCCAAAAAUUCAUCUUUCGGCAUUUCAAGCUUAAUUCUACUACGGACUUUCAAAUAAUUUUCCGAACACGCUCCUAGGUCCAAAACUACCAUACAGAGCUAUUGAAAUCAUCAAAAUUCGAAUUUGAGGUCGUUUACACAUAACUUCACAUCCGGUUACUGUUUUAACUUAAGCUUUAAACCUUAAACUAAGUGUUCCAAUUCAUUCCAAAAUCUCACUGGACCCGAACCAAUUACCCCGACAAUUCACACAACAACUGUAAAGUAUAAUUUGAGCAGUAAAUGGGGAAACAAGGUUGUAAUACUCAAAACGACCUGCUGGGUCGUUACAUAUACGCAUAUGCAUGGCAUUAUAAAUAUUUUAUGAUUUACAUAGCUAUCCAGACUUACAUGUUGAGUCCUUUAUUCUAUGUUUCUUUCAUGUCCUUUAUAUACUGAUUUACAUGCCUUACAUACUCGGUACACUAUUCGUACUGCGUCCUUUUGUCGUGGAUGUUACAUUCAUGCCUGCAGGUAUAUAUAAUCAGUUUGACGGGCCCUCAUAGUAGUCAAUGUUAGCAUUCAACGAAGGACGGUAAGACUCCACUUCAUUCGGAGUGCAGAGGAGUUUGUAAGUCAACGUGUCGUAGUUUUGCUAUAGACUUAUGGGUAGGCCGGGUCCAUGUCCCGACCAUGGUUUGAUGUCAAAUACUCUUAGAGGCUUUGUAGACACAUGUUCAUCAUGUACAAUAUGUCAUAGACCUUGAAGGCCCAUAUGUAUUCAUGUUUUAAGUACUAUGAUUCGCUGAUACAACGUUUGCCCACUUAUAGUUAUACAUUACGAGUUGUGGCCAUGUUGCCCUAUGAUAGUUGAAAAAAAAGAGAGUUACAAAGUGGUUCGAUCGGGCCAGUUCGGCACCGGGUGCCAGCCAUGCCUCCGCAGGUUUGGGGCGUGACAACGAAGGUCGCACGAUUCACAUUGGCCGAAGAUGGAACACUAUAUAAAAGGAUGUUCGAUAGACCAUUGGCAAUAUGUUUG
rnacentral:lncRNA from 1 species